rnacentral:lncRNA from 1 species
UAAUCAAUAAAAACUUCUUGGAUUUAGUCAAAGGAGGAUGUAAUAUUUUAAUGAUGUAAACACUAUUUAUAUUCGUAUUUUGGAUACGUACUACUGUCAAAAAAAAAAAAUCAGAGACAUGUGUUGUAGCAGAAUCCAAUUACGGAGAGUUCUAAUCUACAAGGCACCAUAACCCAGUUUACGCAAUACCAAAAAUCAACAACAACAACAACAAAAAAAAAAUCAAGUAUAAUUUCACUAGUGGGGUGUGAGGAGGGUACCGAGCACGUAGAGCUUACCCAUACCAUGAUUGAAGAGAGGUUGUUUCCAUUAAAAUCAAACUGAGCAAAAAGAUAGUUAGAAAAAUCAUGUUUCACAAUGCAAUAGUUAUUAAAAUAAUAUAGAAUUUCAGCAUUGACACACAAAGUCA